rnacentral:sRNA from 1 species
CCGUAUAAUGGAGGUGCUGGGGUUGUUGCUGACUUUCUGAAUGGGGGAGGUCGUGCACGCCUCGGUGCUCUCACCACACAAUCCACAUCACCCCUUUUGUGCAUCAUCGCGUGAGGGGGACCCCUCUGAGGGGGGUUCUUUCACGUUUUUACAAAUUUGAACGCAAUGUGUAGAAUGUCUUUGCGAUCACACGCAAUCAAUACAACUUUCAACAACGGAUCUCUUGGCUCUCGCAUCGAUGAAGAACGCAGCGAAAUGCGAUACGUAAUGUGAAUUGCAGAAUUCAGUGAAUCAUCGAAUCUUUGAACGCACCUUGCGCCCUUUGGCAUUCCGAGGGGCACACCCGUUUGAGUGUCGUGACAUCUUCAAACCUUCUUGGUUUCUUGACCGGGAAGGCUUUGGACUUUGGAGGCUUUUGCUGGCUUUCAUUUGUUGGAGCCAGCUCCUCUGAAAUGGAUUAGUGGGUCUGCUUUGCCUAUCCUCGACGUGAUAAGAUGUUUUCUACGUCUUGGGUUUUGCACUGUCUCCUGCUUCUAACCGUCUCACAGAAGACAAUGGUCAAGUGAUUGCCACUUGACCGCAUGAAC